UUUAGUCAUUUUACUCUAUUUUGGCAAUUUUAUAGCUUAAGGAAAUCCAAAGGUCACGUCUAUUCAUACGCCAAUUUGUAACCUCCUUCUCUUAAUUGGAGUAUAUCUCUUCCUCUUUUCCUUCUUCAAGUACAACUCCUUUUUUCCAGAACGUCUUUCUCUUUUUCUCUCUUCUUCCUACUCACUAGAGCCAUCAAACAUGGAUACAUCAACGAGUCUGGUGACGGUAACAAGAUUGGUUAAGAGAUCGGGGCGGGCAAAAAAAGCUAUGGCACCAAUCAUGGCAAGAAACAGAUUCAACGUAAAAUGGACGCUGACGUAGGCAAAGGCAUUCAUGGAGCACUAUUACUCCAUUGUUCGAUACCUACGGGAUCGCGCUCAGAAGUCUGUACCAAGAAGGUUCCAUGCUAAUAAGCUCGGUUUCUUCUAAGUUCUGGACUUGGGAUGAAGUUCAAGUUUCUUAAAAUAAUUUACUUAAUGAUAUUGUGUCUCUCCUUCAUUUACUUGAUUUAGAAGAUGCUAUGGUUAAAUGUUUAGCGUUGUUGCAGUCUCUGCUUUAGCGUUUACUAACCUGUAUUGAAGAUCUUAAUAUCAAAUUAUCAAAAUAUGAUUGUCAUUGGUUUAAGUUUAAAAAAGUGACUGUUUGCAUUAACUAUCCCGUUGAACUACGUUCAUAUGCAUUAGUUGUCUCAAGAAACUUUACCAUUUAUAUAGGGUACCAAAUCGUAGUUUGUACAGAUUUCAUAAAACAUGUGCUAAAAGAUAGGAGAAGAAAGAUAAAUAAGAAUGCUAACUUGAGAGAGAGCCA